AUGGUGUUUACCUGCUCGAGGCUGCCGGAGGACCUCCGCUGGUGCUUCGAGGAGCUUGCAAAGAAUUACGCGGAAGCCCCCAGUCUGAAGGUGCGGCUCUGUGUCAUAAAACAGGCUAUUGCUAUCCUGGAGGAGGAAUUCUGGUGGCUUGACUACCCGGGAGUGCAGACGCUUUUUGAGGGGCUCCAGGUAGUGCGGAGGGAUUUGGCACACGCUCUGCGCGCGGCGCCCGCCAGCGUCUCAUCAGCUGUUCCUGCUUCACCGGAGAGAGAGCCUGUCGUCGCUCAGUCAAGCCAAGCUCACGUUCCUGUCGCUGCUCAGUCAAGCCAAGCUCACGUUCCUGUCGCCGCUCAGUCAAGCCAAGCUCACGUUCCUGUUGCCGCUCAGUCGAGCCAAGCUCACUCUCCUGUUGCCACUCAGGCAGAUCCAGUCCCCGCUCCAGACGCCGCUCAGGCAGACCCUGCUCCCUCAGUUCCUGUUCCCGUCGGCCAAGUAGAGGUCGUUCCAGUCCCUGUUCCCGUCGGCCAAGUAGCGGCCGUUCUAGUUCCUGUCGGCUCCUCGGAGGAGGACGCCGUUCUAGUUCCUGUCGGCUCCUCGGAGGAGGACGCCGUUCUAGUUCCUGUCGGCUCCUCGGAGGAGGACGCCGUUCUAGUUCCUGUCGGCUCCUCGGAGGAGGACGCCGUUCUAGUUCCUGUCGGCUCCUCGGAGGAGGACGCCGCUCUAGUUCCUGUCGGCUCCUCGGAGGAGGAUGCCGCUCUAGUUCCUGCCACUGUCGGCUCCUCGGAGGCCGCAGUUCUAGUUCCUGCCACUGUCGGCUCCUCGGAGGCCGCAGUUCCCGACGAUCCCCAGGUGGGGGUCGGUCCCGCCGCAUCGCCUGUUGCAGCCCCUGCCGACCUCCCGGAGGAGGUCGGUCCAGCUCUGCCUCCUGCCGACCUCCCGGAGGAGGUCGGUCCAGCUCUGUCUCCUGCCACCCUCCCGGAGGAGGUGGUCGGCCCGCUCCUGGUCCCUGUGUUUUUUGGGCCAAUGUGUGCAGGUGCAGCUCCUGGUGGUCCGGUCCCGGCCACGCUCGUCUCAGCCCCUGGUGGUCCGGUCCCGGCCACGCUCGUCUCAGCCCCUGGUGGUCCGGUCCCGGCCACGCUCAUCUCAGCCCCUGGUGGUCCGGUCCCGGCCACGCUCAUCUCAGCUCCUGGUGGCCCGGUCCCGGCCACGCUCAUCUCAGCUCCUGGUGGUCCGGUCCCGGCCACGCUCGUCUCAGCCCCUGGUGGUCCGGUCCCGGCCACGCUCAUCUCAGCUCCUGGUGGUCCGGUCCCGGCAACGCCCGUCUCCGCUCCUGGUGGUCUGGCGCCUGCAGAAUCUGCAUCAGUUCCUGGUGGCCCGGCUCCGGCCGCGCCUGCAUUGGGUCCUGGUGGCCCGGCUCCGGCCGCGUCUGCAUCGGUUCCUGGUGGUCCGGCUCCGGCCAUGUCUCCACGUCUGCCUCCGUCCGUGGUCCCGGCUCCGUCUUCACGUCUGCCUCCGUCUCUGGUCCCGGCUUCGCCUCCACGUCAGGCCUCGUCUCCACGUCUGUCCUCGUCUCCGGUCCCGGCCUCGUCUCCACAUGUGUUCCUGUCUCUGGUUCCGGCUUCGUCUCCACGUCAGGCCUCGUCUCCACGUCUGUCCCCGUCGCUGUUCCCGGCUUUCCGCCGGCUCUCGCCUCACCUGCCUGACGGAGGGUCAGGUCCUUGGCGCAUCCUGUAG
rnacentral:lncRNA from 1 species